rnacentral:rRNA from 1 species
AUACCACCACUCAGCUGGAAUAGAGAGUGUGCCAAACGCUCCCGGCGCCGAAGGAUGUGGCUGCGGCCGAUUAGGUAGACGGUGGGGUAACGGCCCACCGUGCCGAUAAUCGGUACGGGUCAUGAGAGUGAGAACCCGGAGACGGAAUCUGAGACAAGAUUCCGGGCCCUACGGGGCGCAGCAGGCGCGAAACCUUUACACUGCACGCCAGUGCGAUAAGGGGAUCCCAAGUGCACAGGCAUAGAGCCUGUGCUUUUCUGAACCGUAGGGAGGUUCAGGAACAAGGGCUGGGCAAGACCGGUGCCAGCCGCCGCGGUAAUACCGGCAGCCCAAGUGAUGGCCGAUUUUAUUGGGCCUAAAGCGUCCGUAGCUGGCCGCGCAAGUCUAUCGGGAAAUCUACUCGCUCAACGAGUAGACGCCCGGUGGAAACUGCGUGGCUUGGAACCGGAAGGCGCGAAGGGUACGUCCGGGGUAGGAGUGAAAUCCCGUAAUCCUGGACGGACCGCCGAUGGCGAAAGCACUUCGCGAGGACGGAUUCGACAGUGAGGGACGAAAGCUAGGGUCUCGAACCGGAUUAGAUACCCGGGUAGUCCUAGCCGUAAACGAUGCCUGUUAGGUGUGGCUCCCACUACGAGUGGGUGCUGUGCCGUAGGGAAGCCGCUAAACAGGCCGCCUGGGAAGUACGUCCGCAAGGAUGAAA